AUUUUCUUCCUCAGACAGACGGUGCCUCAGAUGGCAGCGACCUGCCAGCGCCUGUCCCCAGCAGCUCUCUGCCACCAUGGACUGAAUCCAGCAAGUUCAGCCAGACAUGACUGAGGAGCAGUCCAGAAAUAUCCUGUGGACAGAAGGGAUAAGGGCAAGGUUACUGGCUGGAGGGGUUGGACUCAUUCCCAUCGGCUGUCGAGCUUGCUAGAGAAAGGCUGAUUUUCCACCCUUCUUCACAUUGUUCUUUGAAGAAUUCCUGCUAUUUCAGCAGCAGCAACACUACUUGUACCUGCUGGGGGCUCUGGUAACCACAAAAGCACAACCUGAGUGAUGGAAGACCUGCAAAAAACACGCAGGAAUGUACAAACCAAAGAAGGAUUUUACAAGGACCUCAGCUGCUUCCUUGCUAAUUGCACUGCCUUACGCGACAAAGCUGUCUUCCUAACCCCAGCAAAAGCUGCUUAUUACUCGAGAUGGUGAUUUCCAAUCUCUUGUCAGAAUAGCUCCUGGCAUCCUGAGUGCAAGCCACUGAUGGCUGGAUAGACUUCAUGCAAGUUUAAUGAAGCACAAGUCUCCAGACAUCUGUCCCGAGGAACUGAUCCUUCCUGGCUGGCUCAGAGAAUCCACACACCUCCACGGGAAGGCGGUUGUUGUGUGUUGUACACCCAGACUACCCAACGCAGGAGCUGUUUAAGCACACUACAGAGCGCCAAUUAAAGGAGAAGCCCAUACAAUCCUACAAAAGAGCAUGAAAGUAAACAUGGGAGACUUGUCAGGAGCGGUCCCGUUCUGUGUCACCGCGCUCACCGGGCGUGACAGCCCCUGCUAGCUGAAGGUAAUUGAAGCAGGUGCCGUAUUAAUAUUUAUAAGCCCUCACUAAAAUCCUACGUGAUCUGCUCAUGCGAGAUGCUGCAUGUGGAGCACUUGCUGUGACCUGGCUCUCCAGUGCCCUCCCUUCUCCCAUGCUUCUUGUGCACAUUAUGCACAUUGGCAAUGGAAUUUCGCAUUAUUCAUAAGUUGCUUUUUAUAUCUCAAAGAGAUGUCAAUGUCCCUGUUCCCCCUAGAUCUGGCCAGGGAGCCUCUCAAAAAGGAUCUCUGCUCAAACAGGCUUAAAAUUAAUAACCAAACCAGCAGGAUUUCCAUGAGUGACACCAGUGGGAGUGUUUCUGACCGAAACCAGCCAGGACAAGACCCUCCACCUGGCACGGCCGCAGCUCCCAGCUCCAUCUGACAUUCUGCUGGUGUAGCAGCCUACUCAGAAAAGGAAACCAAAAGGAACCACUGUGAAGUCUCAGCUGAUCUCUCGAGAGCACAAGGACAAAAUACUUCCCGGGCAGUCCUGCAGUGUAUCGCACACUGUGCUGCAGAACUGCAGGGUCUGAUCGGAGAAGAGCUGCCAUCCCGGAGCAUCCGGUGACACUGUGGGAUGGGAACAUUGUUUUUUCAUUGCAGCUUCAGAAAAAAAAUAGAACAGGAAUGUGAAGCCUGGGGACAGGUGGACGGGAGUAUUGAGAAGCUUCCAUUUCAGAGGCUCGGAGAGUAGCACAGAUGUAUGACAGUGUCUUGGAUAUGUGUUGAGACCUUUUCCAAUCAAUUAUUUUGUGGCAGUAGGAUUCAUGUGUCUAAACACAGGUGUGCCUGCAGCUCACCACAUGCAAUGAUGCCUUCUGGUCAGCCAUGGGCUAGAAAAGAGAGUUAAAAUAACAGUGCUUGCAGAGCAGUGGUUUCCAAAUGGUUGCUUGGGCAUUUAAAUAAUUGGGUCUAGGAAUUCCUGCAGGGAAUGACAUGCCAGGGUGCCUGGGAAAAGCUGGUCAAAACAUUCUUUAUGAAAACAGGAAAAAUCCAUUGCAGUACAAAUGGAUAUGGUUAAUAACCUCCUUUGACAUGUUAGCAAUGAAAUAAACAAUUCCCGUGGAGGAACACGGAGCGUAUCACCAGACGGUCGGGUGGGCAAGCAGCGUUGAUUUGUUUUGUUGGCUCACUUAGUUUCUGGCCCUUGUUUCAUUCUGUCGCUUCACAGUGACAGUGAACACCCCAGGAGCUGGCUCCAGGCUGCAGGAUGAGGCCCCAGGUCCUCCUCUGCUCCUCAGGGCAUCGUUACUGCACUGACCAGAGCCCCAGUCCCCCAUGCUUGGGAAGAGUGAGGCUUCCCAUAGCAGCCUUCUGCUUAAAGACUUCCUCACACCAGUAGAAACUGGUGCUGAUGAUGAGACCUCACCAGUUAUACUGCUCAGGAAAGGCAUCGUAUGGGCAAAGGGAAACUCUUUCAUGGAAAUGCUCAGGGAAGUGAAAGCAAAAGGUAUAAAUUUAGCUAAACUGGCACUAAACUCUAUUUUGAGUCUCCUAAAUGAAGGUAAAUUGAACCAAGGUCCCUUUGAUUCUGAAACCAUUUUAGAGCUUUAAUGAUUCAGCUAAUUGUUUUGCCUGAUUGAUAAUGCAUAAUUCAUUGUGAAUUUAAACUCCACAGAACUCAGGUAUUUUUUUUGGUGUGACAUUUUAGUUCUUCACACGCAGGGAAUCGUCACAUGGCUGUAGGGAGGCAGAGAGCCAGAGGGAGAUCAACCUGUUGGAGGGUUUGCAGCAGACCUGGAGUCAAGAGUCUCUUCAAAUCCAUAUUAAUUAAUUAUAUUUCAAUGCUCUGAGCUCUGGGGAAUACUGCAGUGGGGGGGUUCUCAGAUGCUGCUGGCUGUGCCCCCUGUGAGCGAGGUGGGUCGGUCUGUCCAUUCACAGACCACGGCGCUGGGAGGUGAGCCCCAGGCUGCUGCUGCUGGGGGCCCUGACACAGUGUGGGGCAGCCCAUGGUGUGUCCUGCCAUGACCCUGCUGCUGGGGAGGGAGAUGCUGCUGCCAACGUCCCCGUGCUUAGCAACAGGACUGAGGCAAAGGCUCAUGCUAUUAAAUAACUUGCUUUAUCACACUCAAAUCCAUCAUAUUUAGAAAUACUUGUUCUCUGACCACUUUAUUUUGAAAACCUUGGUGAGUUAUUUGCUUAUCACAGGGGAGCACUGUGCUUACAGGAGCAGGGGUUUUGUCUGCACUUGGUUUGCUCUUCUAGGCUUUACUGUGUUCUUGUCCGCCUGGCACUUCACAUUGUUACUGGCUCACAUCAAAUACUCCAGAACUGUCUCUGGGAUGUAAGUGUGCUUUUCUUUUCUCCCACAGAUGCCUACUGGCAGCAACAGUAAGAAAGAUUUCUCCCUACAUAAAACGAAAGGAGAGGUGAGCAGAUUUGUUCUGCCAGCAUGGUGAUAAACCACGAGAAACUGAGCUCCAUCUGCCAGCCCUGGCGAGGCAGAUCUUCACCAGCUUUCACAUCUGAAGUGGAGACCAGCAGCAUUGCUGCACUAUGUGGGCAGGGAUGAGCCAGGGAGACAUUUCCCAGCAUGGUGAGAGCAAUUCUCUUCCUUUCUCAGGCAGUUUUUUAAGUAUUAGCAACCAUGGUAACUGGAGUAGAAGUGUAACCAGUCCGCUGUGCUUUCGGUUUGACACAAUUAUCUUUGCAGAACAGUCAUGUUAAAAAUAAACAGGACUUGCACCAGAUUCCUCAACACCUUGCUCUGUUCCAUGUGGGAGACUGGCUGAAAGUUGGGUGUAGUUUGGACCAGUGCAUUGCAUGCUGAGGCCUGUGCAGUGGGUUGGUGUUGGUGGCAUGUCUGCCGAUUACCAUCAUUCCUCAUUGACCUGCAUCUGGGGAAGAAGAAGAUGACCUUUGCGGUGCUUCCAUGUCCACUGAUGUGGAGCAGGAGAGGGCUUCGGGGUGGAUGUGCCCUGCUUCAAUGACGAAACAUCAGGAUCUGGGGGGUGAUGGAGCAGCAAAAGCCUCCAUGCACCUGCGAGGAGAUCUGACAGUGAUCACCAAGGAAACUAAGAAACACUGGUGGCUCCUCAUGUCUCCAGUAAUUUGAGUUAGAUGCUCCUGGUUGGGGGCAGUGUGCUUCAAUUGAGUCAAGGACAAGAAGCAUCAAGUGGUGCCAGAAGCAAAGGGUGGUUUUCCCCCUGGACUGCUUGAUGUGCUCAUGAUGAACCGUGUGUGUUUGUGUGGCCAAGGUAAACGUCCGGGUUAGUGGCACUUCAUGGACAUCGUGAUGAUCUCCUGUUCCCUGCCCCAUCCUCUAAGCAGUCUCUCUGGGUUUUUUUGGUAUACCACUUGGAGAGCUUACCCUGCGCAGUUUGUGUUUUUCUUGCUUUGGGAAUAAAUAGAUGACAGUGUCAAUCCAGGACAUUUCACCAGCAUUGAAUGCAAUGGCUUUUCUUCUCCAAAGACUCUUCAGGGAUUUUAUAUGAUCUUCUUGGCUGUCAACAAUGGAGCUGUACAGCUUCAUUAAAGCUUUGCAAAUAUUCAGCUACAAUAAGUGUCUCCUGCCUCUACUUCAUUCUGUGGGUGUUUUUUUCUAUUGACAGGAGUCAAUAGUAGCAUAUAUGAGGAAACAGAUAAAUAUAUAUCUAGCUAAUGAGAGGUAAAUGGCUCUUCAGAGCAAGUUGGCCUCACAGAUUUCCCCUUGUUCUGCGUUUUCUUCUUUUUUGAACAGACAUUCAGCUCUGCGCGUUAUCCCACUCACCUUGAGUGCGCCUGAAACCUCCAACCUCUCUUCAGUGUGUUUUCAGCGUUUUGCAAUGUCAGAUGUUGCUCACAGCUGCAACAGGAAUUAUCUUUUGUACUUCUUUAAAGUAAAAGCAAUUUAGAGCAUCUACAUCUGCAGAAACAGUAGCUCCUUGUGGAGCCCAACGCCCAAGAGGUGCUUGUUUUUAUACACUGUUGGGCUACAUCAAAGGCAGCAUUGUUGAGUAGUUAAUGAUUGCCUCUUAUGUCAGUUCUUAAAUGUUUUGUGUAGUGUCUUUAUUAUUCAUACCAAUCUGUCUUUUAGAUCAUCUUCCAUAGACACUCCAGAUUAAAUUUUCUUCAUUAUCAUUACAGAACUAGAUGAAUAAGUGGCACAUCUGUUCAUGAAGUGGUUUAUUAUCUGUUCUGAUGAGGUUUUGGAUGAAUAGCGGAAUGACUUAAAUAUGGAGCAGAGAAACACAUACAGGUUCAUGCAUAAUCUUGAAUUCAUAACCAGUAGUGCUAAGUCGAGGCAUCUGAUUUUACACAGAAGAGGUAAUUAUUAAUUAAUGAUCUGGGCCAAUUUAUCACAAGGGCCAACUUAAUGAAGGGACAAGACGAGACAGAAAACAAACCUGCAUGUGAGACAGCGCUAAUGAAGACCCAGGCAUUGUUUAACUGGUUCCUGCUCCAUCACUGCGAAGGAAAACUCUAUAAAUAUUUUAUAAACACGCCAUUUUCACCAUGUAAAACCAAAUUGCACCAAUAAAUCUAUUUAUCCAGAA